rnacentral:rRNA from 1 species
AUUGAACGCUGGCGGCAGGCCUAACACAUGCAAGUCGAACGAGUGGCGGACGGGUGAGUAAUGUCUGGGAAACUGCCCGAUGGAGGGGGAUAACUACUGGAAACGGUAGCUAAUACCGCAUACCAUCGGCGGUGCCCAGAUGGGAUUAGCUAGUAGGUGGGGUCACGGCUCACCUAGGCGACGCUCCCUAGCUGGUCUGAGAGGAUGACCAGCCACACUGGAACUGAGACACGGUCCAGACUCCUACGUGAGGCAGCAGUGGGGAAUAUUGCACAAUGGGCGCAAGCCUGAUGCAGCCAUGCCGCGUGUAUGAAGAAGGCCUUCGGGUUGUAAAGUACUUUCAGCGAGGAGGCGUUACUCGCAGAAGAAGCACCGGCUAACUCCGUGCCAGCAGCCGCGGUAAUUC